GUGGUACAAACGGUAAAGUAUUUGGCUACUAACCAAAGGGUUGGUGGUUCAAAUCCACCC
rnacentral:tRNA from 1 species